AUUGAACGCUGGCGGCAGGCCUAACACAUGCAAGUCGAACGAGUGGCGGACGGGUGAGUAAUGUCUGGGAAACUGCCCGAUGGAGGGGGAUAACUACUGGAAAAGGUAGCUAAUAACGCAUACCAUCGGAUGUGCCCAGAUGGGAUUAGCUAGUAGGUGGGGUAACGGCUAACCUGGGCGACGAUCCCUAGCUGGUCUGCGCGGAUGACCAGCCACACUGGAACUGGGACACGGUCCAGACUCCAACGGGAGGCAGCAGGGGGGAUUAUUGCACAAUGGGCGCAAGCCUGAUGCAGCCAUGCCGCGUGUAUGAAGAAGGCUUUCGGGUUGUAAAGUACUUUCAGCGAGGAGGCGUUACUCGCAGAAGAAGCACCGGCUAACUCCGUGCCAGCAGCCGCGGUAAUAC
rnacentral:rRNA from 1 species